rnacentral:rRNA from 1 species
AGUUUGAUCAUGGCUCAGAUUGAACGCUGGCGGCAUGCUUUACACAUGCAAGUCGAACGGGGUGAGGAGCUUGCUCCUCAUCUAGUGGCGAACGGGUGAGUAAUACAUCGGAACGUACCGUGUAGUGGGGGAUAACGUAGCGAAAGUUACGCUAAUACCGCAUACGAUCCACGGAUGAAAGCAGGGGACCUUCGGGCCUUGUGCUAUACGAGCGGCCGAUGUCUGAUUAGCUAGUUGGUGGGGUAAAGGCCCACCAAGGCAACGAUCAGUAGCGGGUCUGAGAGGAUGAUCCGCCACACUGGGACUGAGACACGGCCCAGACUCCUACGGGAGGCAGCAGUGGGGAAUUUUGGACAAUGGGCGCAAGCCUGAUCCAGCCAUGCCGCGUGUCUGAAGAAGGCCUUCGGGUUGUAAAGGACUUUUGUCAGGGAGCAAAACCCAGCAGCUAAUAUCUGUUGGGGAUGAGAGUACCUGAAGAAUAAGCACCGGCUAACUACGUG